rnacentral:lncRNA from 1 species
UUCUGUUCAGGUAAUAGACCACUUUCGAGUUCAUCCGUCACCGGAAAAAACUCGUCAAUUAUACGCGCCUUUAUGACGUCAUUUACCAGAUAGAGGGGGUCGCCUGUAUCCCUGCACUAUUUACGUUCAUCAAGCGUCUUAGUGAUCGUCAUUGUGCAGGAUAAACAAGAAAUAAUGGUUGUUCUGUAGGUACUUAAUGACAAUUCCCUAAUGACAGCAAUGCUGAUUGUCAAUUUUGAGAAUUCAAUUUGCCGAAUAAUACGUACAAUAUAGAAUUAUAGUUUUCCAACCACUCGCUCAACGUGGGAACGGAAGUGACGACGCCCCUAAACGCACAAAUGACGUUCACUAAAACCAGAGUUUUUGACGGAAAUGCAUCGAACUCGAAAGUUGUCUAUUUUCUCCGUUAUAU